rnacentral:rRNA from 1 species
UACAGAGGAGCCAAGCGGUUGUCCGGAUUGACUGGGCGUAAAGCGCACGCAGGCGGACGCGCGCGUGGGGUGUGAAAUCUGGCCGCUUAACGGCCAGGCGCCAUCCCAUACGGCGCGUCUGGAGUGAUGCAGAGGUCGGUGGAAUUGCCGGUGUAGUGGUGAAAUGCGUAGAGAUCGGACAGGAACACCCAGGGGGAAACCAGCC